rnacentral:rRNA from 1 species
UACGGGGGGAGCAAGCGUUGUUCGGAUUUACUGGGCGUAAAGGGCGCGUAGGCGGUCAGCACAAGUCAGUUGUGAAAUCUCCGAGCUUAACUCGGAAAGGUCAACUGAUACUGUGCGACUAGAGUGCAGAAGGGGCAACUGGAAUUCUCGGUGUAGCGGUGAAAUGCGUAGAUAUCGAGAGGAACACCUAUGGCGAAGGCAGCUCGCUGGGACGUUACUGACGCUGAGACGCGAAAGCGUGGGGAGCAAACAGG